UAAAAAAACUUGUUUACUAUGGAAAUCAGCCAAUUCGUAAGUCAAUUCGUAUAAAUAAGAUGAUUGCACAUCGUCUGUGCGGUUGGUUCCUGCGAAGAAUUUUCUGUAUGAGUGAACUGUUACGCGUCGUCGUUGGUGCUCGGUUUUCACGGAUAAGGAGACACAGAGUGCGUUUCUUUUCAGCAAACAGCCCAACUUCAGAUCUUACCUUAGAUCUCAGCAAUACUCGGCAUCAUUAUCAUCAUCAUCAUCGUCAUCACCAUCACCAUCAUCAUCGACGUAACGACAACCAGAAUCAAAACCACAACAACAAUAACAGUAUUAUCAAUAACAACAAUAAAAAUAACAACGAUAACAACAACUCCAUAAGCCUUGUAACGAGCGAACCUCAAGAAAUCGUGAUGAAGGAGAAAAGUAAGACAGCGGCCCGAUGGCGCCGGGAAAAAGAAAACAAGGAAUACCUCGAACUUGGAAAACUUUUACCGCUUCCAUCAACGAUCACCUCACAAUUGGACAAGGCCAGUAUCAUCAGGCUAACCACUAGCAACCUCAAGAUGAGAGCAUUAUUUCCUCACGGACUGGGUGACGACUGGGGUACUAGACCACCGCCUAGUAGUCCUUUGGAAGCUGGUAUUAAAGAAUUAGGAUCACUUUUUUUGAAAACACUGGACGGUUUCGUAUUCGUCGUGACACCCGAUGGAAAAAUCGUUUAUGUUAGUGAAACAGCCAGUGUACACCUAGGAAUGUCUCAGGUUGAAUUGACAGGUAAUAAUAUAUACGAAUACAUUUGUCAGUACGACCACGAAGAGAUGUUUUCGGUGUUGAAUCUCCCACAAAAUCCGGCGGAUCUCACCGAUUUUAUGUUUCCACCUCCGAACUCACGCGGUGAAAUCGAUCUAGAACGUGUCUUCUUUCUGAGAAUGAAAUGUAUCUUAGCGAAGAGAAGCGCUGGUCUUGUCACGGAAGGAUACAAGGUUAUUCAUUGUUCGGGUUACCUCAAGUGCAUCAUUGAAAGUUCAACUGGGUCAGAAUACGAAGAUGGUGGUACUGCUGGUAGAUGCAUCAGAAAUAUUUGUCUCCUAGCCGUCGGCCAUUCCUUUCCAACUUCUGCCAUUACGGAAAUCAAACUUUAUAACAAUAUGUUCAUGUUCAGAGCGUCCCUCGAUCUCAAGAUGAUAUUCAUCGAUUCGAACGCAACGAAUUUAACAGGGUACCAACCACAGGAUCUCAUCGAGAAAACUCUCUAUCAUUAUGUACAUGGAAGCGACGCGUUGCACUUGAAACAAGCACACCGAGUUCUAUUACGAAAGGGUCAAGUAACAACGAAGUACUACAGAUUUCUAACGAAAUUGGGCGGUUGGGUGUGGAUGCAAUCAUAUGCCACGGUCGUUCAUAAUACAAGAAGCUCAAGGCCUCAUUGCAUCGUCUCAGUGAAUUAUAUUUUAACAGAGAUUGAAAACAUGGGACUGGUGUUGAAUUGCGUCGAGGGACCUUGUUCGACAAGUCCUGGAAACCCAUCUAGCACGGCCUUAACUACUCCAACAACAAGUGCUAAUACAAACAAAUUGGAAAAUCACAGUCCAAGUUCGCCGUCCUUUCGUGGAAGAGUUAAGGAAUCACCAGAUACAGAUUAUACAGACAGUUCUGGUUAUUCUGGCACAGAAUUUAUAGCCUGUUCUACAAAUUACAGUCACUUUCUUUCGUCUCCUUAUGCUGUUAAUGGACCGAUGCUCGAAGAUGGUACUUAUUACAAUACCGAAGUUUUUCAUUUGUAUGGAGAUAUAAAUCACGAUCCACUUACCACGGUACCACCACCGCCACAACAACAACAACAACAACAGCAACAACAACAACAACAACAACAACAACAACAACAACAAGAAACACAUCAUCAUCAAAUACAAAGUAAUCAACAGAGGAGGCCAUAUUCUACGUCAUCCAGUUCUUGCGGUAGCACUGAUGCUAUGGAUAAUCAUUUACCUAGUCCAAUCGGUUUACAUUCUAUUCCGUCGGGAUAUCAUCCUCCUCCUCCUGCACCUCAUCCAUCUCAUCAUCAUCCUCAUCAUCAUCAUCAUCAUCAUCAUCACCAUCAUCACAAUCAGCAUCAGCUUGCAGACUCGACCUCGUCAAGCAUCACGGAAACAGGUGGCAGUGUCAUCAUGUAUUCUGAUUGUGGCUUUGAUAACAACGACGUUUACAAUGGUGUACCAACAACUCCGACGACCCUUCAACAUCACGAUACCUCUUAUCAAUCACAAAGAAAUACAAACGGAACUGCUGGUAGCAAUGUUAAACAACAGGCCCAACAUCAUCACCAUAUCGAACAAUCGACCGCUGGUUACACAAGUGUUAUCGUCGACUCUCAACAAUACAGUCCAAAUCCUACGCAAGAUCUUCAUCCCCAUGCUCAUCAUCAGGCUGUCACAUCGAGUGGUAGCACGUCUCCUCUAGUAACGCAUCAUCAGCAUUAUUACGAAACGCAUCACCAAUUCGUUCACUGACACCAAACGAUGAUGCGAGUAAUGCUUGUCGUCGAGACAUCAACAAGCUUACGAAUUCAAUGAUUCUAGGAACCAAUGAUUAUCCUGCAAUUUUAUUGCGAUUUAAUCUGGCUCUUUCGAAGUAUAAUGAAUUUCCAAGUCUCGUCUCCGAUUGUUUGAAUAAAAACGAAGAAAUCUCCUGGUGAUUCUUCUGUUUUUCUUUUUUUUAAUGCUUCUUAUACAGACGAUACGAGGACCAAUUGUCAUCCCGUACGAACAAUAAAUUAAUUGUUCUCGGGAUAGAAAUUCUCGGCUUGGCUUUCGACGGUCGCGUGCUUGAACGCCAGGGGUCCCUUCGUCAAGGCUGGCACGUGGCUGUUUAUAAUCACCCUUCCUCCCUCCCCCCAUCUAACCCAUCGACCUCAACCCCCUCCCCUGCUCUUCUCUUUCCCUCGAACUUUACAGUGUAUCACCGAAAAACGUCGUGAAUAUCUUUCCAGUUCUCGUCGUUUUAUAAACGUCAUCUUUAGUAUCGUCAUCGUCAAACGCGUUUAAUUGCUCGUAAAUCUCGAUCUAGAGAUAAAGAAAGUGAGAUGGAGAGAGAACCUUGGGGAGAGGGGUGAAGGGAAGAAGUACAAGGGUCCUUUGAGACGAGGAAACCUUUUGUUCGUAGAAGUGACGUAAAAUUACUAAUAAAGUCACUAAGGGAGGAUAUGAGAAUUUUUCUUCUAUCUUUCGAUUUUAUUUAAGAAAAACGCGGUAUGAAAGAGAUAUUAAAAAAUGAAAAAUAAUGGAGAUUAGUUACGUUGUAUGUUUGUUUUAAAAGAUAUGUAAUAUAGGUGAUAAGUAUAAAGGAUUACAAAAUUUUCGUCUUCUUUUUCUUUAAAGCAUAAUUUCCACAUAAAGCGUUCAAAUUUAAUCGCUUUAAGUAUUGCAGACAUUUUUGUUUUUUUUUGUUUUAAUGAACCACACAAAGUUUUACGGAUUGAUAUCUCUGUUUUUAAAACGGCUCAUAGUAAAAUGUUACGAAUUGGUUCUUUAUCAAAAUAAAAAAAAAUAAAAAAAGAAGAAGCAAAAAAUUCAUCGAACAUGUUUAUCAUUGUUUAAUUAUGCAAAUUUAAAAUUAUUUAAUCAUGAAAAAAAAAGAAAAAGUAAACUGAAUGAAAUUUUACAAGUCCUUCAGUUGUCAGGAAAGAAUCUUGCUUUAUUUUAUUUCUUUUUGUCCUUUUUUUAUUAGAAACGAGAAGACGAAAAAA